rnacentral:rRNA from 1 species
UACGUAGGGGGCAAGCGUUAUCCGGAUUUACUGGGUGUAAAGGGGGCGCAGACGGCGAUUCAAGCCAGGAGUGAAAGCCCGGGGCCCAACCCCGGGACUGCUCUUGGAACUGCGUGGCUGGAGUGCAGGAGGGGCAGGCGGAAUUCCUGGUGUAGCGGUGAAAUGCGUAGAUAUCAGGAGGAACACCGGUGGCGAAGGCGGCCUGCUGGACUGCAACUGACGUUGAGGCCCGAAAGCGUGGGGAGCAAACAGG